UACGGGGGGGGCAAGCGUUGUUCGGAAUUAUUGGGCGUAAAGAGCUCGUAGGCGGUUUGUCGCGUCUGCUGUGAAAACUCGGGGCUUAACCCCGGGCCUGCAGUGGGUACGGGCAGACUAGAGUGCGGUAGGGGAGACUGGAAUUCCUGGUGUAGCGGUGAAAUGCGCAGAUAUCAGGAGGAACACCGGUGGCGAAGACGGGUCUCUGGGCCGUAACUGACGCUGAGGAGCGAAAGCGUGGGGAGCGAACAGG
rnacentral:rRNA from 1 species